CUUUAGUUGAACCGCCAUGAUUGAAUUACUGUUGAUAGUAAACGGGGAGAGGUAGAAAAAGAGUGGUGAAAAGAAAAGAUAAUGCCAAAGGGACGGUCCAAGCGGUCUCCCGGCUUGGGGGUAGAAGCUGUGCGGGUUCGUUUCGGUGAACAGACCUGAGGUACCAGACCCGAGGCACUGGUUCCACAUGCCCUGCCUGUCAUGUGGCGGUCCAACUGGCUAUUUUUAGAGGUUUCCGCUGACACCUCCAGCCUGAGAGGUCUUAAAUGGCAGGGAGCCACAUGCACCACCUUCUGGAGCGCCGUGCGAUGGAGUGAGGUGCAGAUGGCAUACCAGGCAGUGAUGCAGUGUGUCAAAACACCCUCAACACUGCAGCUGUAUAACAUUUUAGGAUCUGAGGCACGGGACAUAUCCAUUCUGGCUCCAAAAGGGUAAGAAGCUCAGAUGUUCUUCAUUAACAACCGUCUGGGUAUGUGAAAAGCUUCAGUGACUCGCGGGACACAUGAAGCUCUCGACCCGCUCCAGUUCGACUCCCGUCGACGUGGAUGAGGGCGUUCUCGCCCCUCUCCUUCCUGUUAUCCGCGAUCGGCAACAUCAACGAUCUGGUUGAGGUUAGCGGAGAGAUUGUUGUUCUGGUACAACACUUCCUAUUGGCCGUCGGCGAUCAUCAGGCCUCUGGAAAGUCGGGCCCACAGCCAACUUGACCGUGUCGGUGUCAUUUGUGUCCACGCCGUCGUGGUUGAUUAGGAAUUACUGGAGGGGAAUAAGCACACAUAGUAGAGGAGUAAAUAUUUUUAAAAACGCUAUGUUCAGUGUACCUGCAUACUGCCAUGAUUGUCAUCAUCCAGAUUAAACUGUUUACAGCCAUGUAAAAAAAAAUGUUUAUCAAACAACUGAAGUAAAUAGCCGGUCAAUUCUGCAACAACACAUGCCUUACCUGAACUUGACCACUAGGUGGAACCAUUAAACCAUGUAAUGAAAUGUCCAGCUACGUCGGCAGUGCACUUGCAGUUUUCACUCGUUCAGAUUUGUGUUGGGGUUCCAUCCGGGUUUUAUCGUUUUCUAAUGUCUCCACAGAUGACUCAUGGGCCUACUGCACAAGCCAAGUCUUUGGAGGCGUUAGAAAAGUCCUUAUUACUUAUUACCUAUGAUCAUUUGUUUUAAUUAUUUAGUUUAGUUAUUUCUGCUGCUGAACCUACCUACAGUACAUGAUCGACAGGAACCUAAAUGACCUUUGUUUCCUAGCACAUCAACUUGGC
ensembl:lncRNA